UAGUCCACGCCGUAAACGAUGUCUACUAGCCGUUGGGGUACUUGAGACCUUAGUGGCGCAGCUAACGCACUAAGUAGACCGCCUGGGGAGUACGGCCGCAAGGUUAAAACUCAAAUGAAUUGACGGGGGCCCGCACAAGCGGUGGAGCAUGUGGUUUAAUUCGAUGCAACGCGAAGAACCUUACCAGGUCUUGACAUCCUGAAAACUUUCCAGAGAUGGAUUGGUGCCUUCGGGAAUUCAGUGACAGGUGCUGCAUGGCUGUCGUCAGCUCGUGUCAUGAGAUGUUGGGUUAAGUCCCGUAACGAGCGCAACCCUUGUCCUUAGUUGCCAGCACGUAAUGUUGGGCACUUUAAAGAGACUGCCGGUGACAAACCGGAGGAAGGUAAGGAUGACGUCAAGUCAGCAUGCCCCUUAUGCUCUGGGCUACACACGUGCUACAAUGGCCGUGACAAAGAGUUGCUACUUUGUGAAAACAAGCUAAUCUCAUAAACGCGGCCUCAGUUCGGAUUG
rnacentral:rRNA from 1 species